GACGAACCGUGCGAACGUUGUUCGGAUUCACUGGGCUUAAAGGGCGCGUAGGCGGGCAUGCGAGUCCGGGGUGAAAUCUCCCGGCCCAACCGGGAAAGGGCCUCGGAUACCGCAUGCCUCGAGGGGGGUAGGGGCGUGUGGAACUUCCGGUGGAGCGGUGAAAUGCGUAGAUAUCGGAAGGAACGCCGGUGGCGAAAGCGACGCGCUGGGCCCCUCCUGACGCUGAGGCGCGAAAGCCAGGGGAGCAAACGGG
rnacentral:rRNA from 1 species